AUACGUAUCCACGUAUCAACCGAAUCGUGAACAUGUUAGACGCCUUGAGUUGAGAGUAUUUGCGGUUUCAGCGGUCUCCUUUCCUUUUGGAGGAGAGAAAAAAUGAUGAUGUAGCGCUGACCGGUCCUAGUUUUCUUCACGGAAAGCUAGCUCAACCAAGUGCGGUUUUUCUUUCUUCUACAUCAUCUUACUUACCAUUUAUUAACCCCAUGUACACAAUUCUGAACUGAAUAAAUUCUUCCGACUCACAACUCUUAACCGGGUUGUUUGAGAAAGAAGUCUCAAUACGAAACUAAAAAA
rnacentral:misc_RNA from 1 species